AUUGAACGCUGGCGGCAUGCCUUACACAUGCAAGUCGAACGGCAGCACGGGAGCAAUCCUGGUGGCGAGUGGCGAACGGGUGAGUAAUAUAUCGGAACGUGCCCAGUCGUGGGGGAUAACGUAGCGAAAGCUACGCUAAUACCGCAUACGAUCUAUGGAUGAAAGCGGGGGAUCGCAAGACCUCGCGCGAUUGGAGCGGCCGAUAUCAGAUUAGGUAGUUGGUGAGGUAAAGGCUCACCAAGCCGACGAUCUGUAGCUGGUCUGAGAGGACGACCAGCCACACUGGGACUGAGACACGGCCCAGACUCCUACGGGAGGCAGCAGUGGGGAAUUUUGGGACAAUGGGCGCAAGCCUGAUCCAGCAAUGCCGCGUGCAGGAUGAAGGCCUUC
rnacentral:rRNA from 1 species